AGGGCAUCAAAACAGGUUCAAAAGACGUGUCCCCGGGACACCAAGCCUCUGGCUCCUCCGCCACCCUCUUCCUCCCCCAUGCCUCCCUGUCAGUUGGCCUCCCCAGGCGGCUGCAGGCUGGGGACGCAAAUCCUGCAUGUGCUCUGCCCUGCAGCCGGCAUUACACAACCCGCACCCGACAGAAGCACGGAAGCGCAGAGGGUCGAUGAUCUCAUAGCCAGCACGUGGUGGAGCUAGCCAUCAGAGAAGACAACAAGGAAACCAUCUUCAGGAUCUAGAUCAUCUCUGUCAACACCUGGCAAGAUUGGAGCUUUUCUCAGCAAGUGGGUGUGAAAUGGAAACUGUGUUCUUAAUCCUUGUGCCCACGACUUCGGAUCAGGAACGCCAGGAGGGGGCGCAUGUGCGCCGUUGAAUUACCAGCAGCCUGUGCUGAGGCCUGGUGGCCACCAGAGGGCGUGAAGUACCUUUCCUGACUCACUGCAGCCUCGAAUGGUGUAGAGAUGCAAAGCGCUGAGCCGUACCCCCAGCCCCAUAUGAUAAAUUCUCAUUACUAAGACAUUAUCUCCCCAGUGUCCUCUAAUAUUAACUUAUUGUGCACACAGUGGCCACUAAUACACGCUGUGGCCUUUAAUACUAAUAUGCACACAGUAGCUACUAGGGACAUUUUCUUUUUGGUCCUGGGAAAUGAACUCAGGAGCACAUCCCUAGCCCUUUUAAAUUAAUUAAUUAGUUUAUUUGUUUUGGAUACAGGGUCUUACUAGGUUGCUUAGGCCUCGUUAAGUUGCUGAGGCUGACCUUGAAGCUUUAUUAUAGAGGCCACAUCUACCCAAAUCCAAUUCAGCCCAAGUUGUAAAACCAUCAUCCUUGUAAGAAAAUCUGAGUGGUGCUUUAUAAAAUGGAGUAAUUCAGGUCAAAGAAUGAACUAUCAACCUUGCAAAGAUACGGAUAAGUCCUGCUUGCAUGUUGCUGAGUGAGGUAAGCCAGUUUGGAGAAGCUAUUCACUGCAUGACCCACUCUUCACAUGACACUUGGAGAGGGAAAACUAGCGAUCAUCUAGGCCAAAGGGUGCAGGGGGUGGGGUUUGAAGCAUUCUGGAUGAUGGUUUGAUGAAGGAUACCCAACAUUAUGCCCUUGAGACUGCCUUUGAAAGUCAUGGUUUAUUCCAAUUAUUCAGGACACAGAAAAUACCCCAGGUGGCAUCCACCUAUAAUCCCAGUGCCUCUGGAGGCUGAGGCAAGAGGUUUAGAAGUUCGAGGUCAGCCUUAGCAACUUCAAAGGACCCUAAACAACUUAGUA